rnacentral:rRNA from 1 species
GAAUAGCGUAACGACAGCUGUACUGUCUCCACGAGGGACUCGGCGAAAUUGUAGUCGUGGUGAAGAUGCCACGUUCCCGCACCAAGACGGAAAGACCCCGUGAACCUUUACUGUAACCUAAUACUGGCUCUAGGUUCGUCAUGUGUAGCAUAGGUGGGAGACGUUGAUGUCGGAGGCGCCAGCCUUCGAAUAGUCACCGGUGAAAUACCACUCUUGACGUAUUUGGAUUCUAACCCGUGACCGUUAUCCGGCAUGGGAACAGUGUUAGGCGGGCAGUUUGACUGGGGCGGUCUCCUCCAAAAGAGUAACGGAGGAGUGCAAAGGUACCCUCAAUGCGGUUGGCAAUCGCAUGCAGAGCGUAAAGGUAUAAGGGUGCUUGACUGCGAGACACAUAGGUCGAGCAGGUACGAAAGUAGGUCUUAGUGAUCCGGUGGUCCCGUGUGGAAGGGCCAUCGCUCAUCAGAUAAAAGGUACUCCGGGGAUAACAGGCUGAUCACGCCCA